rnacentral:rRNA from 1 species
CGGGUGAGUAAUGCGUGACCAACCUCGCCCCAUGCUCCANAAUAGCUCUUGGAAACGGGUGGUAAUGCUGGAUGCUCCAACUUGACGCAUGUCUUGUUGGGAAAGUGUUUAGUGGCAUGGGAUGGGGUCGCGUCCUAUCAGCUUGUAGGCGGGGUAAUGGCCCACCUAGGCUUCGACGGGUAGCCGGCCUGAGAGGGCGGACGGCCACAUUGGGACUGAGAUACGGCCCAGACUCCUACGGGAGGCAGCAGC